UACGAAGGGGGCUAGCGUUGCUCGGAAUCACUGGGCGUAAAGGGUGCGUAGGCGGGUCUUUAAGUCAGGGGUGAAAUCCUGGAGCUCAACUCCAGAACUGCCUUUGAUACUGAAGAUCUUGAGUUCGGGAGAGGUGAGUGGAACUGCGAGUGUAGAGGUGAAAUUCGUAGAUAUUAGGAGGAACACCGGUGGCGAAGGCGGCCAACUGGACAGUAACUGACGCUCUGGCGCGAAAGCGUGGGUAUCAAACAGG
rnacentral:rRNA from 1 species